rnacentral:rRNA from 1 species
UACGGAGGGUGCGAGCGUUGUCCGGAAUCAUUGGGCGUAAAGGGCGCGUAGGUGGCGGGACAAGCGUGCGGUGAAAGCUCGGGGCUCAACCCCGGAUCUGCCGUGCCGACUGUCAAACUCGAGGACUGUAGAGGUAGACGGAAUUCCGGGUGUAGCGGUGGAAUGCGUAGAGAUCCGGAGGAAGACCGGUGGUGAAGGCGGUCUGCUGGGCAGUUUCUGACACUGAGGCGCGACAGCGUGGGGAGCAAACAGG